CCGCAAGCGCGGCGCGCAGUCCCGGUUCCCGCUCGCGCCUCUCCCUCACCUCCAUGCAAGCUGAAGGAGCUGGCUCCGGCCUUGGCCAGCCCAGAAAGGGGCUCCCACAGUGCACCGGUGGGCUGAAGGGCUCUUCAAGCGCCGCCAGAGUGGGCGCCAAGGCUGAGGAGGCGCUGAGAGCGAGUGAGGGCGCACGCCGUCAAUUCUCACAGCAGCAAAAAGAAAGUGUGCAGUUUUGAACAUCUGGAGGCCUGAUUUAUUGGAGAUUGCAAAUGUACAGUGUAACAUAGCUGUGGAGAGCGAGAAGAUCAGGAUUGUCAAUGCUGUCAUUGCUUUUACUGGAAUCCCCAGCACGAAUUGAAGGUCUCACUUUGCCACCUAGGCUGGAUGCAAUGCAACGGUAUGUUGAUCUUGGUUCACUGCAGCCUCAACCUCCUGAGCUCAUGUGAUCCUCCCACCUCAGUCCCCCACGUCGCUUGGAUUACAGGCCUGUGCCACCACACCUGGCUAACUUUUUUUGUAAUUUUUGUAGAGACAGGGUCUCACUAUGUUUCCCAUGCUGGUCUUUAAUGCCUGAGCUCAAGCCAUCCGCCUGCCUCGGCCUCCCAAAUUGCUGGGAUUACAGGCAUGAGCCACCAUGCCCAGCCUAAUUCUUCUAAAUCUUAUCCUAGUAAUUAAGCCAGAAUUUUUCUCUGCCAAGACCAAUAGAUGGACCAAGAAGUACUCAUCCUUGUAAACUUUCUUUGGAUAAAUUGCUUACAUAUAAUAAAUUCAGAGUUAAGUAAUAAAAAUAAUGAACUACUGUCUUG
rnacentral:lncRNA from 1 species